AGAGGAGUUCAAGAUGUAACCGCAUGGGUAGGAAGCCCGGAACUAUUCUCCGAUUGACAAGCAUUCUCUAGUGAUUUGGUUUGUGAUAAGCCUUGUAACACUCUGAGAAGUAUUCAUCUAGUAAUUUAGUUUUCUAUGCUUGAAAGACCCAUCAUUUCCACUGCAGAACCUGGAGGACAGAGGAGGAAUAACUAGAACCUUCUGUGAGGAUGCAGUGAAGUUAUUUUCUUUGGGAUUAAGAAUGAGAUGUAGCAAAACAACAUCAGCAAACCCUUUGGAAAGAAUAUGCUCAUAUAUAGGACAUAAAUGAAACAUGCCUGUGGGGGUGGCUGACUGCAGAGCACUGCUAUGCAUGCUUGAGGCCCUGGCUCUAACUCCAGCAAAGCAACAAGAAACGCAAACCAAUGCACACCUGAGCAUAGAAGGGAGGCUAUCCUACAUCUGUGGCGGAAGAUGGGAGGAAGAGGGAGGCAGCCGAAUGAAAGAGACUCCUCCCCAGGAAGGCCGAGGCCAGGACUCUUCUAGACAUGCCCAAGCACAUUGCCUCGUUUUGUUGUCCAAGGACCAAAACAACAUCACAGACAAACUUAAAGUUUCUGCAGACAAGUAUACCAAUGGAAUCGAAUUGAACACCCUAAUAUUAACCUAUACAUGUAUGAACAUCUGAUUUUUGACCAAGAAGCUAAAAAUAUACAAUGGAAAAGAGAAAGCAUCCUCAA